rnacentral:rRNA from 1 species
AGAGUUUGAUCCUGGCUCAGAUUGAACGCUGGCGGCAUGCCUAACACAUGCAAGUCGAACGGUAACAGCGGAGCUUGCUCCGGCUGACGAGUGGCGGACGGGUGAGGAACACGUAGGAAUCUGCCCAGUAGUGGGGGACAACAUGGGGAAACUCAUGCUAAUACCGCAUAAUCCCUAAGGGGGAAAGACUUCGGUCGCUAUUGGAUGAGCCUGCGUCAGAUUAGCUUGUUGGUGGGGUAAUGGCCUACCAAGGCGACGAUCUGUAGCUGGUCUGAGAGGACGACCAGCCACACUGGGACUGAGACACGGCCCAGACUCCUACGGGAGGCAGCAGUGGGGAAUAUUGGACAAUGGGGGCAACCCUGAUCCAGCAAUGCCGCGUGUGUGAAGAAGGCCUUCGGGUUGUAAAGCACUUUCAGUAGGGAAGAUAAUGACGGUACCUACAGAAGAAGCACCGCUAACU